ACGUGGCGGCGUGCCUAACCAUGCAAGUCGAACGAGAAAGCGGGGGCAACUCCGUGAGUAAAGUGGCGACCGGGUGAGUAACACGUGACUAACCUACCCUACGGUGUGGAAUAACUCCGGGAAACCGGGGCUAAUACCGCAUAAUAUCGUCGUUUCGAAAGAAGUGGCGAUCAAAGCAGCAAUGCGCCAAAGGAGGGGGUCGCGGCUGAUUAGCUAGUUGGCGGGGUAACGGCCCACCAAGGCCAAGAUCGGUAGCCGGCCUGAGAGGGCGCACGGCCACACUGGAACUGAAACACGGUCCAGACUCCUACGGGAGGCAGCAGUGGGGAAUUUUGCGCAAUGGGGGAAACCCUGACGCAGCAACGCCGCGUGGAGGAUGAAGCCCCUUGGGGCGUAAACUCCUUUCGACCAAGACGAUAAUGACGGUACUGGUGGAAGAAGCACCGGC
rnacentral:rRNA from 1 species